GCUGGGCGUGGUGGCGGGCGCCUGUAGUCCCAGCUACUCGGGAGGCUGAGGCAGGAGAAUAGCUUGAACCCGGGAGGUGGAGCUUGCAGUGAGCCGAGAUUGCACUACUGCACUCCAGCCUGGGUGACAGAGCAAGACUCUGUCUCAA
rnacentral:SRP_RNA from 2 species